CCAAGGUGGGCUCUGGACCUGCCAGGUGGAGAAGGGACCUCUGCUGCAAAUGUUUCAACUCUCACAUUACCAUCUCCGUCCCAGAGACUAGUGAAGAUUAGAAGG